AACAAGCAAAGAAAUUAAUAAGUAAGCCUGCGGACUCCAUCAGGUCGAAAGGAGGGUUCGGGUCUUACAAGUUUGUAUCAGAGCAUGCUUGAUUCUAGGAUAGUUGGGUUAUGUAGUCCACACACACACACACACACACACACACACACACAGCCAACUGAUUAGGUCUCACGGUGAGGUUUGAUUGCUUAGUCUAGGGAUUCUUUUGUUCUGUUUAUGUUUAGUAUGUUUCGUACUAACGUUGUCUGAAUCCUUAGGCUGGAAAAAGCAAAUCGGGAAAGUCCCGAAGGAGUAAGAAAACGGCCGGUCAGUCUAGUCAAGUGGCCAUGGACGGAACCAAUCAGUCCGGAUUGCAAACCGAUCCGGCCGCGGCUGACACUAGAGAUGUGUUGCCAACUAAUCAG
rnacentral:lncRNA from 1 species